ensembl:misc_RNA Metazoa_SRP Metazoan signal recognition particle RNA
GCCAGGUGUGGUGGCGCACACCUGUAGUCCCAGCUACUCAGGAGGCUGAGACAGGAGAAUCACUUGAACCCAGGAGGUGGAGGUUGCAGUGAGCCAAGAUCGUGCCACUGCACUCCAGCCUCGGUGACAAAGUGAGACUCUGUCUCCA